rnacentral:tRNA from 2 species
GGAGAGGUGGCUGAGCGGUUGAAAGCGGCUCCCUGCUAAGGAGUUAUAGGGUUUAGAUCCUAUCGAGGGUUCGAAUCCCUCCCUCUCCG